CCAAAGGCUCUUUUCAGAGCCAUCCCACCUUUCAGUGAAAGAAGCUG
rfam:Ictidomys tridecemlineatus contig066133, whole genome shotgun sequence.